GACGAACGCUGGCGGCGUGCCUAAUACAUGCAAGUCGAGCGAAGUUUUUCUGGUGCUUGCACUAGGAAAACUUAGCGGCGAACGGGUGAGUAACACGUAAAGAACCUGCCUCAUAGACUGGGACAACUAUUGGAAACGAUAGCUAAUACCGGAUAACAGCAUUAACUGCAUGGUUGAUGUUUAAAAGUUGGUUUUGCUAACACUAUGAGAUGGCUUUGCGGUGCAUUAGCUAGUUGGUGGGGUAAAGGCCUACCAAGGCGACGAUGCAUAGCCGACCUGAGAGGGUGAUCGGCCACACUGGGACUGAGACACGGCCCAGACUCCUACGGGAGGCAGCAGUAGGGAAUCUUCCGCAAUGGGCGAAAGCCUGACGGAGCAACGCCGCAUGAGUGAAGAAGGAUUUCGGUUCGUAAAACUCUGUUGUUAGGGAAGAAUGAUUGUGUAGUAACUAUGCACAGUAGAGACGGUACCUAACCAGAAAGCCACGGCUAACUACGUG
rnacentral:rRNA from 1 species